UGUGUCAGAAGCUGGGUCUUUGCGGGCAAGGUGAGUCCUCAGUUUGUUCAACUGGCCUACAAAGUCCCAGUCUCUGGCUCACGUAACC
ensembl:miRNA mir193 microRNA mir-193